AAGUCGUAACAAGGUCUCCGUUGGUGAACCAGCGGAGGGAUCAUUAAAAGAAGCCGAAAGGCUACUUAUAACCAUCGUGAACUCGUCCAAGUUGCUUCGGCGGCGCGGAGCCCCCCGGGGCACCGCAGUCCGGCCUCUUCGGAGGCGCGGGGCAACCGCCGGAGGUACAAAACUCUCUGUAUUAUAGUGACACUUCUGAUUAAACAAACAAAUAAGUUAAAACUUUCAACAACGGAUCUCUUGGUUCUGGCAUCGAUGAAGAACGCAGCGAAAUGCGAUAAGUAAUGUGAAUUGCAGAAUUCAGUGAAUCAUCGAAUCUUUGAACGCACAUUGCGCCCGCUAGUACUCUAGCGGGCAUGCCUGUUCGAGCGUCAUUUCAACCCUCAAGCUCUGCUUGGUGUUGGGGCCCUACGGCUGCCGUAGGCCCUGAAAAGAAGUGGCGGGCUCGCUACAACUCCGAGCGUAGUAAUCUAUUAUCUCGCUAGGGAAGUGUGGCGUGCUCCUGCCGUUAAAGACCCCAUCUUUAACAAGGUUGACCUCGGAUCAGGUAGGAAUACCCGCUGAACUUAAGCAUAUCAAUAAGCGGAGGAAAAGAAACCAACAGGGAUUGCCCUAGUAACGGCGAGUGAAGCGGCAACAGCUCAAAUUUGAAAUCUGGCUUCGGCCCGAGUUGUAAUUUGUAGAGGAUGCUUUUGGUGAGGUGCCUUCUGAGUUCCCUGGAACGGGACGCCAGAGAGGGUGAGAGCCCCGUAUAGUCGGCCACCGAUCCUUUGUAAAGCUCCUUCGACGAGUCGAGUAGUUUGGGAAUGCUGCUCAAAAUGGGAGGUAUAUCUCUUCUAAAGCUAAAUACUGGCCAGAGACCGAUAGCGCACAAGUAGAGUGAUCGAAAGAUGAAAAGCACUUUGAAAAGAGGGUUAAAUAGCACGUGAAAUUGUUGAAAGGGAAGCGCUUGUGACCAGACUUGUGCCGGGCUGAUCAUCCAGUGUUCUCACUGGUGCACUCGACCCGGCUCAGGCCAGCGUCGGUUCUCGUAGGGGGAUAAAAGCUUCGGGAACGUGGCUCCUUCGGGAGUGUUAUAGCCCGCUGUUUAAUACCCCUGUGGGGACCGAGGUUCGCGCUCUGCAAGGACGCUGGCAUAAUGGUCAUCAGCGAC
rnacentral:rRNA from 1 species